CGAAUGCUGACGUGAGUAACGACAAAACGGGUGAAAAACCCGUUCGCCGAAAGACCAAGGGUUCCAGUCCAACGUUAAUCGGGGCUGGGUGAGUCGACCCCUAAGGCGAGGCCGAAAGGCGUAGUCGAUGGGAAAAUGGUUAAUAUUCCAUUACUUCUGUGUAAUGCGAUGAGAGGACGGAGAAGGCUAAAUCAGCCUGGCGUUGGUUGUCCAGGUGAAAGGAUGUAGGCAUGUAUCUUAGGCAAAUCCGGGGUACUCUAUGCUGAGAUCUGAUAGCAAGCUGUACUUGUACAGCGAAGUGGUUGAUGCCAUGCUUCCAGGAAAAGUCUCUAAGCUUCAGUUACACAGGAAUCGUACCCGAAACCGACACAGGUGGUCAGGUCGAGUAGACCAAGGCGCUUGAGAGAACUCUGCUGAAGGAACUAGGCAAAAUGGUACCGUAACUUCGGGAGAAGGUACGCUGUUGUUGGUGAUGGAACUCGCUUCCUGAGCUGACGACAGCCGCAGAAACCAGGCCGCUGCAACUGUUUAUUAAAAACAUAGCACUCUGCAAACACGAAAGUGGACGUAUAGGGUGUGAUGCCUGCCCGGUGCUGGAAGGUUAAUUGAUGGGGUUAGCGUAAGCGAAGCUCUUGAUCGAAGCCCCAGUAAACGGCGGCCGUAACUAUAACGGUCCUAAGGUAGCGAAAUUCCUUGUCGGGUAAGUUCCGACCUGCACGAAUGGCAUAAUGAUGGCGGCGCUGUCUCCAGCAGAGGCUCAGUGAAAUCGAAAUCGCUGUGAAGAUGCAGUGUACCCGCGGCUAGACGGAAAGACCCCGUGAACCUUUACUGCAGCUUGACACUGAACUUUGACCUUACUUGUGUAGGAUAGGUGGGAGGCUUUGAAGCUGGAACGCUAGUUCCAGUGGAGCCGUCCUUGAAAUACCACCCUGGUAAUGUUGAGGUUCUAACUCUGUCCCGUGAUCCGGGACGAGGACCGUGUCUGGUGGGUAGUUUGACUGGGGCGGUCUCCUCCUAAAGAGUAACGGAGGAGUACGAAGGUGCGCUCAGCGUGGUCGGAAAUCACGCGUAGAGUAUAAAGGCAAAAGCGCGCUUAACUGCGAGACCCACAAGUCGAGCAGGUACGAAAGUAGGUCUUAGUGAUCCGGUGGUUCUGUAUGGAAGGGCCAUCGCUCAACGGAUAAAAGGUACUCUGGGGAUAACAGGCUGAUACCGCCCAAGAGUUCAUAUCGACGGCGGUGUUUGGCACCUCGAUGUCGGCUCAUCUCAUCCUGGGGCUGAAGCAGGUCCCAAGGGUAUGGCUGUUCGCCAUUUAAAGAGGUACGCGAGCUGGGUUUAGAACGUCGUGAGACAGUUCGGUCCCUAUCUACCGUGGGCGCUGGAAAUUUGAGAGGAUCUGCUCCUAGUACGAGAGGACCAGAGUGGACGAACCUCUGGUGUACCGGUUGUGACGCCAGUCGCAUCGCCGGGUAGCUAUGUUCGGAAGGGAUAACCGCUGAAAGCAUCUAAGCGGGAAGCCUACCUCAAGAUAAGAUUUCCCUAGGACUU
rnacentral:rRNA from 1 species